GGCGAACCGGGGGAACUGAAACAUCUAAGUACCCCGAGGAAAAGAAAUCAACCGAGAUUCCGAAAGUAGCGGCGAGCGAAAUUGGACUAGCCCUUAAGCUUUACACGCGUUAGACGAACGGUCUGGAAAGUCCGACGAUACAGGGUGAUAGUCCCGUAGUUGACGACGUGUGUUCAGUGAAAUCGAGUAGGGCGGGACACGUGAUAUCCUGUCUGAAUAUGGGGGGACCAUCCUCCAAGGCUAAAUACUACUGACUGACCGAUAGUGAACCAGUACCGUGAGGGAAAGGCGAAAAGAACCCCUGUGAGGGGAGUGAAAUAGAACCUGAAACCGUGUACGUACAAGCAGUAGGAGCAGGCUUUGUCCUGUGACUGCGUACCUUUUGUAUAAUGGGUCAGCGACUUAUAUUCAGUGGCAAGGUUAACCAUCUAGGGGAGCCGUAGGGAAACCGAGUCUUAACUGGGCGUUCAGUCUCUGGAUAUAGACCCGAAACCAGGUGAUCUAGCCAUGGGCAGGUUGAAGGUUGAGUAACAUCAACUGGAGGACCGAACCGACUAAUGUUGAAAAAUUAGCGGAUGACUUGUGGCUAGGGGUGAAAGGCCAAUCAAACCUGGAGAUAGCUGGUUCUCCCCGAAAGCUAUUUAGGUAGCGCCUCGGACGAAUACUACUGGGGGUAGAGCACUGUUAAGGCUAGGGGGUCAUCCCGACUUACCAACCCUUUGCAAACUCCGAAUACCAGUAAGUACUAUCCGGGAGACACACGGCGGGUGCUAACGUCCGUCGUGGAGAGGGAAACAACCCAGACCGCCAGCUAAGGUCCCAAAUUACUACUAAGUGGGAAACGAUGUGGGAAGGCUCAGACAGCCAGGAUGUUGGCUUAGAAGCAGCCAUCAUUUAAAGAAAGCGUAAUAGCUCACUGGUCGAGUCGGCCUGCGCGGAAGAUGUAACGGGGCUAAGUAGUAAACCGAAGCUGCGGCAAUGUGCUUUUGCACAUUGGGUAGGGGAGCGUUCUGUAAGCGGUUGAAGGU
rnacentral:rRNA from 1 species